rnacentral:rRNA from 1 species
GAUGAACGCUGGCGGCGUGCCUAAUACAUGCAAGUCGAGCGAACGGACGAGAAGCUUGCUUCUCUGAUGUUAGCGGCGGACGGGUGAGUAAAACGUGGAUAACCUACCUAUAAGACUGGGAUAACUUCGGGAAACCGGAGCUAAUACCGGAUAAUAUUUUGAACCGCAUGGUUCAAAAGUGAAAGACGGUCUUGCUGUCACUUAUAGAUGGAUCCGCGCUGCAUUAGCUAGUUGGUAAGGUAACGGCUUACCAAGGCAACGAUGCAUAGCCGACCUGAGAGAGUGAUCGGCCACCCUAGAACUGAGACGCGGUCCAGACGCCUACGAGAGGCAGCAGUAGGGAAUCUUCCGCAAUGGCCGAAAGCCUGACGGAGCAACGCCGCGUGAGUGAUGAAGGUCUUCGGAUCGUAAAACUCUGUUAUUAGGGAAGAACAUAUGUGUAAGUAACUGUGCACAUCUUGACGGUACCUAAUCAGAAAGCCACGGCUAACUACGUG